UCUCCGUAGGUGAACCUGCGGAGGGAUCAUUACAGAGUUCAUGCCCUACCGGGUAGAUCUCCCACCCUCUGUUAUUAUUACUUUGUUGCUUUGGCGGGCCGUUAGGCUCCGGCCCGACUACCGGCCCCGGCUGGUAAGCGCCCGCCAGAGGACCCAAAACCCUGAAUAUUAGUGUCGUCUGAGUACUAUAUAAUAGUUAAAACUUUCAACAACGGAUCUCUUGGUUCUG
rnacentral:misc_RNA from 1 species